GUGUUGUAGCCAACAGCAAUUUAGCCCCCAGUGCUAAUGGUGUGUUCCUUUUAGUGUGACUGUUAACUGGGAUAACUGAACCUGGAAUCUGUUAAAUAUCCCGUCCAGUCAUGGGAUACCUGCUGUUUGUCCUUUUCCCGUUCAGUCCGUUCAGCUGUCGCUGUUUCCCGGUGUUUUGUAGUGUUCCCCGGGAUGUGAUUGUGAUGACUGUUGUCCAUUGAACUGCGAGCACGCCGACUGCUUUAACUGUUUAGUUAAACAUUGGGGCAACUUGUCUUGAUUAUCAUUCCUGGAAGUAAACGAACCUGUGGAGUGUACAUGAAUAUUUACUGGAAAGGGAUCCCAAUCUGGGUGGAAAGGGGUUUAUUGAAGCAGGCAGACGAUGAUUUCAUCAAUCUCAGAAUGAAUUGCUGGCCGCAGUUUUCUAAGGAAAUGCUCAUCUGAGGUCUGAGAUGGGUCAGUCCCACUCUUUUCAGUACAAGGAGGCAAUGCAGGUCACUGUGUGGAGGAGACCUAGGCUGCAACCCUGAGCAGGUGCACUGCUGUAGGGAGGAGCAGGGCCUGCUCUCCUGCUGCCCUCGUGCACCCCCCUGUGGCACUCUGGGACGCUUGAACUAAAAUGUCCCUCAGCAGCAGCCCUGCCGGUGGUAAAGGUGUGGACUCUAAUGCAGUGGACACAUACGACAGUGGUGACGAGUGGGAUAUCGGUGUUGGGAAUCUGAUCAUUGACCUAGAUGCUGAUUUAGAGAAGGACAAGUUAGAGAUGUCAAGCAGUAAGGAGGGCGGGGGCAUGGCGAUCCCUCCUGUUGCUGUGGCUACAUUACCUGAUAACAUAAAGUUUGUCAGUCCUGUAGCUGUGAUGCAGGGCAAAGAUGGCACACCCAAAUCAAAGCGUAGUAAAAACUCCAAAGAAAGUGUGAAGACCCCAGUCUUGGAUGGAAGUAAGGAGGCCCAAAGUAGGCUCCAGGGAGACUUGGUACCCCUGAACCCCAACUCCACACCAACUAAGGGAACUGAUAAGUCUGGUAAAGCCUCCCGUAUGCCCCCUGCUGUAAAAAAGGACAAAGAUGUGGCAUGUGGAAAAACUAAGAAGGAGAAAAUAGAAGCUGUACCCACAAGAGUGGUUAACACUGAGAAGGAAUCUGCCGUUCCUGUUCCGCCUCUUGGAGGACAUUGUAACAGCACAUUUGAGAGUAAAAAAAACGCAGAGUUAAACCCUGUGGACCAAUUUGGGAACCUGGCUCUGGACUCUGUAGGGAUUAGCCAGGCUGUCACCAAGGUGACAGAGCAGGAGGAGGUAAAUGAUGGUGAUUGCCGGAAUCUGAAGAAAGUUGUCAGUUGUGAGAAGAUGGAAUCUCCUUUUUCCACUUCUGCUCCUCCUCAUCUUCACCUGCUGGGUCCUCCUGCUUACAGCAGCAACAUUUCUUCUCCUUGUGAGCAAAUCAUGGUUCGCACAUGCUCAGUUGCAGUGAACACAGCAGAAGCAGCGCUGGCAACUGAGCCAGAAUGUCUCGGGCCAUGUGAGCCUGGCACUAGCGUCAAUCUGGAAGGAAUUGUGUGGCAGGAGACCGAAGAUGGGAUGCUGGUCGUUAAUGUCACCUGGAGGAACAAGACAUAUGUUGGGACCCUUUUGGACUGCACAAGACAUGACUGGGCCCCCCCCAGGUUUUGUGAGUCCCCCACCAGUGACAUGGAGAUGCGAAGUGGGCGUGGGCGGGGGAAAAGAAUGCGACCUGGUGCCUACACACCACUAAACGACAACAGCAACUCAUCAGACAGCAAAGGCAGUUUGAGCAAGACACGUGGAGCUCUUGCAAACAGCAAAGGUCGGCGGGGCGUGUUGGUAGGUUGUUGUGAAGAUGCAAAGGUCAGCCCAUCCUCAGCAAAGAGGAAAACUAAACAUGUGUCUGAUAUGGAACCUACCUCUAGCUCUGAAGACUCUAAAGCUUCAAAGCGCAUGAGAACCAACUCUUCUGGUGUCGGAAACCCUCUUUCUGUUGGAAAAACAGAAGCCCUGCCCUCUCUACAAUUGGAGCGGACUUGUCUUUCUCCUAUACUUAUUGACUGCCCCCAUCCAAACUGCAACAAGAAAUAUAAACAUGUUAAUGGUCUGAAAUACCACCAGGCUCGGGCCCAUAAUGACCACGAUGUACGACUGGACCAGGAUGGGGACAGUGAAUACGGGGAUGAUUCUAUAUUCCAGUAUGACCCAACUUCCUGUAACGGUGGUGUUUUCUCUCCUGCCUGCUCCAAUAUUCCCAAAGGACAGGGCUCCUCGCCCUCGCAGACAUUGAAGGGGAAAAAGAAGGCAGGGGAAGGUGAGCCUGAGGCCACAGAUGGUGGCGAGGAUGGGCUAUGUUUAACCGAUGAGGCCAGCAAUGAUGGCGUAGAUGACAGAAAGGCCAGAAGAACGUCAGCUGACAGCAAACCCGAUAAACCAGGCCAUAAAUGUGCGAAGAUGGGCCGACCUUUGCCCCACAUUGGUCUUGGGGUUGCUUUAUCAUAUUCCCCCCAGGCAUCUUCUCCUGCUUCAAGCUUAGUGGUACAGUCUGUACCCAACAGCCCCCAGCUGAAAAACAGCCAAACUAAACCCUCUCCACUCUCGGAUCCUUCCUGCAGUCCCACCCUCUGUAAAGACAGGAAAAAGAAACAGAAGAAGAAAAGGGACAGUUGGAAGGAGGACGACAGUCCCAUUGCAACGAGUAAGGCAGGGAGGCCUGAGGAGGGGAAAAGUCCAUACUUUGAGGCAACAGAUAGUUUGCUUAAUGGCUGUAUAGAAGCUCACCAGAGCCGCUUGGCCAGCAUCAAAGCUGAGGCCGACAAGGUCUACAGCUUCUCUGACAAUGCACCAAGUCCAUGCAUCGGCGUUGCAAGCAGGAUAGAAGCUGGUCAAGCCAUGCCCUUGCAACUCAGCCAGAAUGGUGCUGACAACGUGUCCAUGAAGACCAGCAGCCCUGCUUACUCUGACAUCUCUGAUGCAUUGGAGGAUGGAGAAGGUAAGGCAGAGGGUGUGAAGGUCAAACCAGAUCCUGAUCAGGGACCUCAGGAAGGUGCCAAGAAAGCACUGUUUCCUCCUCAGGCUCCCAAUAAGGAGUCAACAUACUACCCCAGCUAUGACUCUUACUACUCCCCAAGCUACCCAAACCCCAGCCCAGGAGCAGCACCUAGACCAACAGCUCAUAUGGAAGCAACACAGGUGAAAAAGGAGGCGGACUUGGAGGGGGUAGAGGAAGGUAAACUUGAGGUGGAGCCUCAGGAGAAUAGGAAGGCUGAAAUGGGUCACCAGCAGCAUUCAGUCAUCCAACAGCGUUCCAACAUGUACUCCCAACCAGUCAUCCAACAGCGUUCCAACAUGUACUCCCAACCUCUAUAUUACAAUGAGUACUAUGUGGCUCCCUACUCCUACACCUCUGAUUCAGCUUACCAUAGCCACCUGUUAGCCUCUAACUCAGCUUACCGUCAGCAAUAUGAAGAGAGGCUGCGGCAAGCUGACAAGAAGCUGGGGGGCAGAGAUCAUGACACUUUUGGUAAAGAUGAGUGUAAGCAGAAGGCCUCUGUUCCCCCUUCAGUCUCUGCUGCCCCUGGCCUCACAGACCUGGGUGCUAAAGGAGUUGUCACCUCAGCUAAGUCUAAAGACCCUGCAGUUGCUUCAGAACAGGCCAAGUCAGUCAUAAUGGCUAAAGGAGAGGAUAUUAAGGGCCCCAGAACCCAGAAUGAAGGACUGAAGAAGAAACUGAGUGAAACGGGUCACCAUAGGAAAGAGGAGGCCAAACCUGGGAUGGAAUUAGGCAGGUCAGCAGGUGUGGACACCGCCAUGUGGUACAGACAGGAGUCAGACUCACACUUGUGGCCUUAUUUGUACCACAGUAAAUACUCAGAAGCUUCAAGACUGCAAGAAGAACAAAGGUGGAAAGAUGAGAGAGAGCAAGACAUGAAAGCCGAGGAGGAUAAACCGCGGUCAAAGGAGGGCCUUCAGAAGGAUGAGGUAAAAGAGGGGGCGGAGGGCAGGAUGCCGCGGCCCCCAAAGGAGCACCAAGGUGGAGUGAAGGAGGCACGCACCCCCCACAUGCAAUUUCCCUCCUCUGUGGCCCAGCAUCAGAGCUACAUGCCGUACAUGCAGGGACCUUAUGCCUACAGUCAGGGCUUUGAUUCUAGCCACCCCGGGUACAGAGACAUGCCUGCAGUUAUAAUGCAGAACUACCCAGCUUCAUACUUGCCGGCCGGUUACCCUUUCUCCUCAUACGGAGGGAAAGUGACAGCAGGGGAGGAUGAGAAACCCUCCCAGUCAAGUCCAAUUGUGAAGCCGCCCAGUGAGGCCAAAGCUCUGGAGCUGCUGCAGCAGCAUGCCAGCCAGUACAAAACCAAAUUGCCUUCUAUUCAAGACAACAAAAUGCUGCCGGAACGAGACUGGGAAAGAGACAGAGACCGUAAGAGAGAGGGCGAUCGGUCGCGAUCUUCUCCUUCACAGCGUGUCAUGUCUUCACAUCAUCACCUGGGAUACCCUCUGUUGUCAGGACAGUAUGACUUGUCCUACACCUCGGGCCUCUCCUCUUCGGCCAUCGUUGCAAGUCAGCAAGCGUCUGCCCCGUCCAUGUACCCACCUCCACGGAGGUGAAACUGUAAUAGUUUGGAUAAACUGCAUCAGAGAAGGAUUACCAGACCCAAAAACCGCUUUUAUUUACUAUAUACAUAAAGGACAAGGAGGAAAUCGACAUCAGUGACUGCUUUGAUUAUCAGAACAAAAAUGUCUAUCAUGUACUGUAGCUCACUAGUUCACUGUAAAACUAAACAUUUUGUGCAAAAUAUAAGUAGGGGUGGCUAUAAUAAUGGUGCACAUGAUUUCAUGUAAAAAUACACUAUAUUGUCCAUAGUAUUGGUUCCCACCACCAAAUCAAUUAAUGCUGUUGUUCCAAUCACUUUUAUGGCUGCUGGUGUAUAAAGUUUGAGCAGGGCAGUUUAGCUUCUCCACACCAGCGUCCUGACCUCAACCUUCUUGAACACCUUUGGAAUGAAUUAGAGCAGAGGCUGCAAUUCUUGUUCCUCCUCUUCCGGUGGAUCCAACUCACCACCAGGUGGUGAUCAGUGGACAGCUCGGCUCCUCUUUUCCCCAGUGUCCAAAAUGCGUCCGAAGGUCAGAAGACACGGCUACAAAGUUGAUUAUUGAUCUCCCGCCUAUGGUGUCCUGGUGCUAAGUGCACUGAUGAACACCCUUAUGCUUGAACAUGGUGUUCCUUAUGGAUAAUCCGUGACUGGCACAGAAGUCCGAUAAUGAAACAGCACUCAAACCCAAGCUCACCCCAACCCACCGCCUUUCCCUGUGGGCCACUCCAGAGCAGAAGAGAGUGCAACCUCUCUCAAGAGGCUGGGUUACAGAGCUCAUGGUGUUUGUAGAGGUGAGCCAGACUAUUUCUAGUUGAUGUCUCUCGACCUCCUGCAGAAGCUCGGGCUCCGUCCCCCCUCCCAGUAAGGUGACAUUACACGUCCAUAGAGCCAGUUUAAGCGUCCUCUGAUUGGGUUGGCUAGGUCUCCACCUUCCACUGCUGCCCGAUCCUUUUUGCACCAGUCCCUCAUGGUUCCUCCUGCAGGUGGUGGGCCCACUGGGGGAUGGCCUCACGUCUCUUGUUCAGGCUUGGCCCGGCUGGGUCCCGCAAGGAGUAAGUACUCUUGAUUGGCUGGACUCUACCCAUGUUAGUCACAUGACUGGAUCACAUCAAUGUACGUUUCUGUUGUGACAUCUCUUCAUGUUUGACAUCUACACCUGGACAUUCAGUUGACUCCCUACUGAACUGGACCAAAACAGUUCUGGUGGUUCCAGGUGUUAGAACCAACUCCACACUGACCCGACAGCACAGGCUUUGGCACAGUGACUAAUGGUACUUUGGAGAUGACAGGAGGAAACAGUGAUGGUAAAACAUGGUCAGAGCUCCCAUCAACGCAUCAUCUGAUGGCCUUCAGGGUCCAACUAGUUUUCCAAACUAAGGGGAAGACGGGAGGUCCACAUCAUUCACAGCUGAAUCUUCAUUCUGUCCUUUCACAGCCCACUAUUGUCAUACUGGUUUAUGUUUUUAUUCUCAUCCUUAUACAUGUCAAAGUCCUCUGAGACUCCCCUUUCUGGACAUCAUCACUUGAUUACCUGGAUGUACCAUAAAAAAGGACUUAUUGUUAACAUCCAGAGGCUGGCUGAGGAGAAGGCAAGUAAAUGUAAUGUAGUGUGUGUGUGUGUGUGUACAUAUUGUACAGAGGAAUUAUUUUAAAGAGUCUGUUGGAUGAUGUUGGAUUUUUUAUUCUUCUUUUUGUCUGUUAGCUUCUGUUUUUCUACUGUUGAUCUGAUAAUAAACCUGUAGCAGCUGGAAA